GCUAACUCUGUGCCAGCAGCCGCGGUAAUACGGAGGGUGCGAGCGUUAAUCGGAUUUACUGGGCGUAAAGCGUGCGUAGGCGGCUGAUUAAGUCGGAUGUGAAAUCCCUGAGCUUAACUUAGGAAUUGCAUUCGAUACUGGUCAGCUAGAGUAUGGGAGAGGAUGGUAGAAUUCCAGGUGUAGCGGUGAAAUGCGUAGAGAUCUGGAGGAAUACCGAUGGCGAAGGCAGCCAUCUGGCCUAAUACUGACGCUGAGGUACGAAAGCAUGGGGAGCAAACAGGAUUAGUUACCCGGGUAGUC
rnacentral:rRNA from 1 species